AUUGAACGCUGGCGGCAGGCCUAACACAUGCAAGUCGAACGAGUGGCGGACGGGUGAGUAAUGUCGGGGACACUGCCAGAUGGAGGGGGAAAACUACGGGAAACGUUGGCUAAAACCGCAUACCAUCGGCUUUGCGCAGGGGGGAUUAGCUAGUAGGUGGGGUAACGGCUCACCUAGGCGACGAUCCCUAGCUGGUCUGAGAGGAUGACCAGCCACACUGGAACUGAGACACGGUCCAGACUCCUACGGGAGGCAGCAGUGGGGAAUCUUGCACAAUGGGCGAAAGCCUGAUGCAGCAACGCCGCGUGUAUGAAGAAGGUCUUCGGGUUGUAAAGUACUUUCAGCGGGGAGGCGUUACCUGCACAAGAAGCCCCGGCUAACUCCGUGCCAGCAGCCGCGGUAAUUC
rnacentral:rRNA from 1 species